AUACGAAGGGGGCUAGCGUUGUUCGGAUUUACUGGGCGUAAAGCGCACGUAGGCGGAUUGAUAAGUUAGGGGUGAAAUCCCGAGGCUCAACCUCGGAACUGCCUCUAAUACUGUCAAUCUCGAGACCGUAAGAGGUGAGUGGAACUCCUAGUGUAGAGGUGGAAUUCGUAGAUAUUAGGAAGAACACCAGUGGCGAAGGCGGCUCACUGGUCCGGUACUGACGCUGAGGUGCGAAAGCGUGGGGAGCGAACAGAAUUAGAAACCCUUGUAGUCC
rnacentral:rRNA from 1 species